rnacentral:rRNA from 1 species
UGGGGAAUAUUGCACAAUGGGCGAAAGCCUGAUGCAGCGACGCCGCGUGAGGGAUGACGGCCUUCGGGUUGUAAACCUCUUUCAGCAGGGAAGAAGCGAAAGUGACGGUACCUGCAGAAGAAGCGCCGGCUAACUACGUGCCAGCAGCCGCGGUAAUACGUAGGGCGCAAGCGUUGUCCGGAAUUAUUGGGCGUAAAGAGCUCGUAGGCGGUUAGUCGCGUCUGCUGUGAAAAUCUCGAGGCUCAACCUCGGGCUUGCAGUGGGUACGGGCUGACUAGAGUGCGGUAGGGGUGACUGGAAUUCCUGGUGUAGCGGUGGAAUGUGCAGAUAUCAGGAGGAACACCGAUGGCGAAGGCAGGUCACUGGGCCGCAACUGACGCUGAGGAGCGAAACGCAUGGGGAGCGAACAGGAUUAGAUACCCUGGUAGUCCAUGCCGUAAACGUUGGCACUAGGUGUGGGGUCCAUUCCACGGAUUCCGUGCCGCAGC